rnacentral:lncRNA from 1 species
UGCAAAUACUGUGAAAGGAAAGGUGGGGCGGACAGCUCAGCAAGACGCGCUUUUGCAUGGUUUGACAGGAAGUAAUGGAGGAGAAGGAGUGAGAAACAAAAUUGCAGGAUUUAAUAGAGCGUAGCUAUGUUCUUUGUGUAGGCGUGCACUUUUUCUUUCAAUGUUCUUUUACUUUUUUCAACCAAAAAUAUUUCAUCAUUUUAGGUUUUGUGACAACGAAAGCCACUAAACGUUAGUUUCGAUUUCUGCAUAUAGAAACUAAGGUGCCAUUUGUACUACACGGAUGGGUUUGUGUUCAAAUUUACAGCCAUGUCAUUUUUUUAUGUUUGUGUGUUUCUCUAUCUAUACUUACAGUGCUUAUAUUUUGUCUGAACUUAUUAGACAAUAUGAGUCUGAAGGAAGAGCCUGAAAGCGAAUCCAAAAGAAAGAGAUCAGAAUCACCCGAGUUCACAUCCACAAUACAUGAACACACAGACCUCAGCAAAGAAAGUGAUCAUGAACACAAAAAUAAAAGGUAAAUCUUUAUUUAUCUUUGUGUGUGCCUGCUCACA